CCAAUUUUAAAAAAAGAACAGAAAGCUUUUAUGCUCUCUUCCCCUCCCCCUUUUUCUUUCUGUCGAUUGGGUUCCUCAGAGACCCGCCCUACCGCCACUGACGACGGCGGUGACCGUCGUGUACAGCAAAGGAGCUCAACCCAGGUACGCCUACUUUAAAUUUUUUUAUGUUUCUUUGUUAAAAAAAGGUUUUCUUCAAAAAAGAAAGGGAAAAAAACAAUGAAUAAAUAUGAAAAAACAAGAUAAGCAGGGAACGAAAGAAGGAAAAAAAAGGAAAUAAAGAACAAAAAUAAACCUUUUGAACUUUUCUAUUUCUUUUUUUUUUUUGUUUUUAUAUGCGUCAAAAGAAACUACAAGGGAGAGAUGUGGCUUUUAAAGCCGAAAAUACAAGAUUCGUUUUUUUGUUUUAUUCUUUUUAUCGUUUCCAUGUAUUUUGCGUGUUAGUCUCUCUUUGCAGGUGUGUCAGAGGCAUGCGAGGCUGGUGGUUGGUGCCCCGAGCGGUGGUGGUAGCGCGCGUGAUGGCCAAGGGCAGAGGGAGGAGUGACGGCUGAGGCUGAAGGAGGCUAGGGUUGCUGAAAAAUCUUAAACAAAUGGGCUAUUAUUUGGGCUAGGGUUUGAUGUAAAUUGGGUUUGGGUAGUUUUGGGUUAAAAUCUGGGUAUUGGGUUUUAAUUAGGUUUUGUUUUAAUUUUGGGCCAUGUAUUGGACUAUUUUUUUUGUUUAUUUGGUUUGGGUUCUUUUAGGCCAAAAUUGGCUAUUACAAUUAGAAUAGCUUACCCCUUCCCCAGCAUUAGAGGUGAUCAUGGGCCGGGUCGGGCUGGGUUCGGGCUGGGCUAAGAUAAAAUUUUAGGCCUGUCUACUAGGCCCGGGACCGGCCCAGCCCGGCCCGAAAUAUGGGCCUAAAAUUUUGUCCAAGCCCGGCCCUAAAUAAAAUUACUAAGCCUGAGCCCGGC
rnacentral:lncRNA from 1 species